ACGCUGGCGGCAGGCCUAACACAUGCAAGUCGAGCGGAAACGACUUAUCUGAACCUUCGGGGAACGUUAACGGCGUCGAGCGGCGGACGGGUGAGUAAUGCCUAGGAAAUUGCCUUGAUGUGGGGGAUAACCAUUGGAAACGAUGGCUAAUACCGCAUAAUGCCUACGGGCCAAAGAGGGGGACCUUCGGGCCUCUCGCGUCAAGAUAUGCCUAGGUGGGAUUAGCUAGUUGGUGAGGUAAUGGCUCACCAAGGCGACGAUCCCUAGCUGGUCUGAGAGGAUGAUCAGCCACACUGGAACUGAGACACGGUCCAGACUCCUACGGGAGGCAGCAGUGGGGAAUAUUGCACAAUGGGCGAAAGCCUGAUGCAGCCAUGCCGCGUGUAUGAAGAAGGCCUUCGGGUUGUAAAGUACUUUCAGUUGUGAGGAAGGGGGUGUCGUUAAUAGCGGCAUCUCUUGACGUUAGCAACAGAAGAAGCACCGGCUAACUCCGUGCCAGCAGCCGCGGUAAUACGGAGGGUGCGAGCGUUAAUCGGAAUUACUGGGCGUAAAGCGCAUGCAGGUGGUUCAUUAAGUCAGAUGUGAAAGCCCGGGGCUCAACCUCGGAACUGCAUUUGAAACUGGUGAACUAGAGUACUGUAGAG
rnacentral:rRNA from 1 species